AAAUAACAUGUAGCUCAUGUCCGAUAGCUUAGUAUUCCACGGAUUCUUGGAAUCAACAAUGAUUCCAAUGCACGACAGCAGUCGUCUAAAUGCCGGCUUCGUUUAGGACUUUGACCUCGAUUUGCGUAAAUUCUGCAGAAAAUAAGCACUGCCCACACGAACAACUGACGCAGUGCUCGUCAACUUUUUUUCUUUAACGUCGUUUAUGGAGAUAAAGCGAAACGGCACAUCGCAGAGAAAUACAUUCACCUAGAAAACGUAGUCGAUCGAAG
rnacentral:misc_RNA from 1 species